GCUGGGCGUGGUGGCGCAUGCCUUUAAUCCCAGCACUUGGGAGGCAGAGGCAGGCAGAUUUCUGAGUUCGAGGCCAGCCUGGUCUACAGAGUGAGUUUCAGGACAGCCAGGGCUAUACAGAGAAACCCUGUCUUGAAAAAAACCAGAGAACAGUUAGGCUGGGAACCUUCUAGAAUUGUGAGAACUCAGGCCCCACAAGGCCAGAGAGUGGAAUGGAGGGCUCAGGUUCUCUCUUUUUGUUUGUUUGUUUGGUUGGUUGGUUGGUUUUUCGAGACAGGGUUUCUCUGUAUAGCCCUGGCUGUCCUGGAACUCACUCUGUAGACCAGGCUGGCC
rnacentral:lncRNA from 1 species